rnacentral:rRNA from 1 species
GAUGAACGCUGGCGGCGUGCUUAACACAUGCAAGUCGAACGAAGCACUUUAACCUGAUUCUUCGGAUGAAGGUUUUUGUGACUGAGUGGCGGACGGGUGAGUAACGCGUGGGUAACCUGCCUCAUACAGGGGGAUAACAGUUAGAAAUGACUGCUAAUACCGCAUAAGACCACAGAGCCGCAUGGCUCGGUGGGAAAAACUCCGGUGGUAUGAGAUGGACCCGCGUCUGAUUAGGUAGUUGGUGGGGUAACGGCCUACCAAGCCAACGAUCAGUAGCCGACCUGAGAGGGUGACCGGCCACAUUGGGACUGAGACACGGCCCAAACUCCUACGGGAGGCAGCAGUGGGGAAUAUUGCACAAUGGGGGAAACCCUGAUGCAGCGACGCCGCGUGAGCGAAGAAGUAUUUCGGUAUGUAAAGCUCUAUCAGCAGGGAAGAAAAUGACGGUACCUGACCAAGAAGCACCGGCUAAAUACGUG